UGUAUCUGAAAGGGCCAUUUCAGUGAAGACGAGUAGGGCGGGGCACGUGAAACCCUGUCUGAACAUGGGGGGACCAUCCUCCAAGGCUAAAUACUACUGACCGACCGAUAGUGAACCAGUACCGUGAGGGAAAGGCGAAAAGAACCCCGGAGAGGGGAGUGAAAUAGAACCUGAAACCGUGUGCGUACAAGCAGUAGGAGCUCCGCAAGGAGUGACUGCGUACCUUUUGUAUAAUGGGUCAGCGACUUACUGUUCGUGGCAAGCUUAACCGUAUAGGGGAGGCGAAGGGAAACCGAGUCUGAUAAGGGCGCAUAGUCGCGGGCAGUAGACCCGAAACCGGGUGAUCUAGUCAUGCCCAGGGUGAAGGUGCGGUAACACGCACUGGAGGCCCGAACCCACUCCCGUUGCAAAGGUAGGGGAUGAGGUGUGAUUAGGAGUGAAAAGCUAAUCGAACCCGGAGAUAGCUGGUUCUCCUCGAAAGCUAUUUAGGUAGCGCCUCAUAUGUAUCCUCUCGGGGGUAGAGCACUGUUAUGGCUAGGGGGUCAUCGCGACUUACCAAACCAUUGCAAACUCCGAAUACCGAGACGGACUGUAUGGGAGACACACGGCGGGUGCUAACGUCCGUCGUGAAAAGGGAAACAACCCAGACCCACAGCUAAGGUCCCAAAUUCACUGCUAAGUGGAAAACCAUGUGGAAAGGCACAGACAGCCAGGAGGUUGGCUUAGAAGCAGCCACCCUUUAAAGAAAGCGUAAUAGCUCACUGGUCGAGUCGGUCUGCGGGGAAGAUUUAACGGGGCUAAGCAGUGAACCGAAGCUUGGGGUGCAUAACUUUGUUAUGCGCGGUAGAGGAGCGUUCCGUAAGCCGUUGAAGGUGGAUUGAGAAGUCUGCUGGAGGUAUCGGAAGUGCGAAUGCUGACAUGAGUAACGAUAAUGCGGGUGAAAAACCCGCACGCCGAAAGCCCAAGGUUUCCUUGCGCAACGUUAAUCGGCGCAGGGUGAGUCGGCCCCUAAGGCGAGGACGAAAGUCGUAGUCGAUGGGAAGCAGGUUAAUAUUCCUGCACCUCGCGUAAGUGCGAUGGAGGGACGGAGAAGGUUAGGUGUACCAGGCGUUGGUUGUCCUGGGGAAAGGCGGUAGGUUUGGAUCUUUGGCAAAUCCGGGAUCCUUCAAGACCGAGCACCGAGACGAGCCUUUAUGGCAAAGUCACUGAUACCACGCUUCCAGGAAAAGCUCCUAAGCUUCAGCUUACGCAGACCGUACCGUAAACCGACACAGGUGGGUAGGAUGAGAAUUCUCAGGCGCUUGAGAGAACUCGGGUGAAGGAACUAGGCAACAUGGCACCGUAACUUCGGGAGAAGGUGCACCCUUUUUGGUGGCUCGUGCGAGCUAUAGCUGAAGAGGGUCGCAGUAACCAGGCCGCUGCGACUGUUUAUCAAAAACACAGCACUCUGCAAACACGAAAGUGGACGUAUAGGGUGUGACGCCUGCCCGGUGCUGGAAGGUUAAUUGAUGGGGUCAGCCGCAAGGCGAAGCUCUUGAUCGAAGCCCCAGUAAACGGCGGCCGUAACUAUAACGGUCCUAAGGUAGCGAAAUUCCUUGUCGGGUAAGUUCCGACCUGCACGAAUGGCGUAACGACAGCGGCGCUGUCUCCACCCGAGACUCAGUGAAAUUGAAAUCGCUGUGAAGAUGCAGCGUUCCCGUGGCAAGACGGAAAGACCCCGUGAACCUUUACUAUAGCUUUACACUGAACGUUGAGUUCGUCUGUGUAGGAUAGGUGGGAGGCUAUGAAACUGUGGCGCUAGCUGCAGUGGAGCCAUCCUUGAAAUACCACCCUGUCGUGCUUGACGUUCUAACCUGGGCCCAUUAUCUGGGUCGGGGACCGUGUAUGGUGGGUAGUUUGACUGGGGCGGUCUCCUCCUAAAGAGUAACGGAGGAGCUCGAAGGUACGCUCAGCGCGGUCGGACAUCGCGCACUGUGUGCAAAGGCAUAAGCGUGCUUGACUGCAAGAUCGACGGAUCAAGCAGGUAGGAAACUAGGACUUAGUGAUCCGGUGGUUCUGUAUGGAAGGGCCAUCGCUCAACGGAUAAAAGGUACUCCGGGGAUAACAGGCUGAUACCGCCCAAGAGUUCAUAUCGACGGCGGUGUUUGGCACCUCGAUGUCGGCUCAUCACAUCCUGGGGCUGUAGUCGGUCCCAAGGGUAUGGCUGUUCGCCAUUUAAAGUGGUACGCGAGCUGGGUUCAGAACGUCGUGAGACAGUUCGGUCCCUAUCUGCCAUGGGCGUUGGAGAUUUGAGAGGGGCUGCUCCUAGUACGAGAGGACCGGAGUGGACGAACCUCUGGUGUUCCGGUUGUCACGCCAGUGGCAUUGCCGGGUAGCUAUGUUCGGAAGCGAUAACCGCUGAAAGCAUCUAAGCGGGAAGCGCGCCUCAAGAUGAGAUCUCCCGGGGCACAAGCCCCCUGAAGGAACCAUGUAGACUACGUGGUUGAUAGGUCAGGUGUGUAAGUACAGCAAUGUAUUGAGCUAACUGAUACUAAUGAUCCGAGAGGCUUGACCAU
rnacentral:rRNA from 1 species